UCACAUUUUAUCAUUUAUUUGGAUGAUAUUAAAUAAAUAACUUUGGGACAGGGAGUGUAAGAUAGUUAAUGUCCAUUAUUUUAAUGCUUUUUUUUCUUAUAACGCCAAAUUCAUUAUGAAAUUGGGCUCAUUUUUGCUUUGAUGUGGUCUUUUUAAAUAAUCACAUAUAGUACAGUGAUUUUGAAUGUAUGAAAUAAUGUUUUUAAACAAAAAAUGUUUUUCUGCUUGUAUUAUCUUAGUUUCAUUAAGAUGAAAUUUAAUGAUUGUUGGGGAAUCUUUUGUGCCUCCAACUUCACUCUUCCCCUUCCCCGAGUUGGUAGCUUAAGAAAGAAUAAAGAUGAGGGAGAAUCAAUCCCAAUAACUCACAGAGAAGGGGGCAAAGAAGAGCUGGUAGUUGUCUUUUGGAAACCACUUACCAUACUUCCACUUUUGUUUCCAUGCACUCUUGUAAACAAAAUGUGUGUGUGUGUGUGUGUGUGUGUGUGUGUGUGUGUGUGUGUUUGCCUAUUCUGUUUUAUGGACAUUAAAAGAAGUAGAGAGGGCACACGAAGAGAAGGGGAAAAGCAAUGGAGAUCUAAAUAAAGCAAUGCAGGCACAGGCACCCAGAAAGGGACAGCAAAGUUUGAGGGUGCAUUAGUCAUCCAUUGCCGUGUAACAAAUUGCCACAAAACUUGGUAGCUGAAAACAAUAGUAAACAUUUAUUAUAUCUCAAGCUUUCUUUGAAGGUUUAGAAUUUGGGCUUUUCUGGGUGCUUUAAGCUUGGGGGGGUCUCAUGAAGUUCAGUUGCCAUGGGCAUCACAGUUCUAGGAUUCCAAGGCAAAUCAUUCAUGCAUACAUGGCAAGUUGGUGCUAGCUGGUUGGGGAGAGGGAUAGCUUCAUCCCUCCCUAUAUGGGCCUCUACGGGGCUGUAUGAAUGUCCUCAUGACUUGGUGACUGACUUCCCCCAGAGCAAGUGAUCUAUAAAAGCCAGCAAGGGGGCAGCUGUCAGACUUGUUAGGACCUAGCCUAGAAGUCACACACCAACACUUCUUCAGUACCCAGUUGAUAUACAAGCUUGUCCUGUUCGCUGUGGGGAAUCACUACACAAAGACAUAAAUACCAGGAUGCAAGGUUCAUUGGGUGCCAUUUUGGAGACUGACUACCAGUCAGAGAAAUAUGAAAAAGAGAUACAUGAACUCACAGACUUGUAUGAAUGGGAAAGGAUGAAAGAUUAGGUGGUUCAGUUAUGAGGAUGAUUGUUGUGCAACACAAUUUGUGAGGCGAAUGUGAUGACCACUACACUACGGAAACAGCACACGUGAUUUGUGACAAAUGUGAAGACUGCCGUAUUCCUUAUACUGAAGGUGUUCCUUACUGCAGACUCUGUGCAUUGCACGCAAUAUGCUUCCCUGUGCCUUCAGGAUAAUCAUCUUGACAGCACAGAAUAUAAAGCGAAGCUUCAUUAAAGCAUGAUAUUUAUCUAGAAAUCUUACCAUAUCAAAAAACUAUCCACUUUUCCCUGCAAAAAUCAGUACUUUCAACUUUCUUACACUGAAGACUCUUGCCUCAUCUAAGAGGUACCAAAAUACUGUAACAGUUAAGAUGAUGGUCUGUCUAGCUUGAAAGGUAUAUUUAUGACAACAUUUUACCAACACACAAUAUAUAAUGGGGUACUUUUCAGGUUACUUUUAGCAGACAAAAUUAUCCUAACAUUGUUGACACGAAAAAUGAGAGGCAAGUAAAUUGACUGUCUAAAAUUGAAAGUAAUGCGUUGUUUGGUUGCCCAUUUUAAUCCUUUUAAUAAUAGUGAAUGUUUAUAGAACAUUCACUCUGUGGCAGGCACUAUUCUAACUACCUCACAUAUCAAGUCAUUUAAUCCUCAACAAUCCUUUUGUUCUGGUUUUAUAGAGUAAAAAAAUGAAAUACAAACAUGGUGAAAAGGGAUUUAGAUCCAUGAAGUCUUUCUUCAGCACCUGUGCCCUGAACCACAGUGCUGUGCAUAGAACAGGCUCCCUCCGGCUAGCUCAGAACCUAGAUUCAUUAAUAAUGACAACAUUUCUCUCAGAUCCACUCCAUGGUCAGAACCUAAAGCCUAGCUAUACUUCUCAGGGCUAGAAGGGGGAAAUGGAAAGCUUCCAGAAAGCUAGGAGUGUUUGUCUCGACGGUCAGUGUGGAGGUAGGUAGGUCUGAGUUGACUUUGUCAGAGGAUCACUGUCGAUGCUGAUUAGAGAAUAAGCUCUAUUGGGACAAGGGGAGAUCUUGUUAUGGGGCGUUGGAUAGAGUGGUAGUAAAAGAAAUUAUGAGUAGUGCUAGGAAUGUGGGUAUAAUAAGAAAGAGAGCCAGUAGGAUUUCCUUAUGGGUGUAAGAAAAGAGGAAAAACCUUUUGCCAAAGCAGUUGGAAAGAUGGAGUCCAUAUCAACUCAGAUAAAGAUAGGGUAGGUUUGAGGUCAAAGAUCACGGUGUAUCACAGGGACAGCUGGAUGAUCAGGAGCAGAGUUAGAGAAGUCUCAGCUAGAGAUAAAAAUUGGGGAUUUGCCAAGAUCUAGAUGGCUCAGCUCACAAAGGGCAUAGCUAGAUCUUUUGGACAAGUGGAUCUAGCUGAGACAGAGACGGAGCCCUAGGAUCUGGAGAGAAGAGGAAGACACAGCAAAAGAAAUUGGGGGUGAAGAGGGAGAACCAAGAGUGUGGUGGUCUGCAGGCGAAAGAAAGAUGGUAUGUCAGGGAGGAGAGAGGAAUAACUCAUUGUGAAUUCUACUGGAAGGUGAGGACUAAUAACUGGCCAUUGGGUUUAACAAUUUGGAGGUCAUUGGUUAUCUUGAUGAAAGCAAAUAUGGAGGUAUAAGCAAAAGUUUAACUGGAAUGAAUGCAAGAGAAUUGGAAGCAAGGAAUUGGAAAUAGUGAAUUAGUAAGCAGUAAAUCUAUGAGUUUUAAUGUAAAGAAGAUCAAAGACAGGACAGUGAGGGUGGUAGCUGUCACAUAAAUUAGAGGUUGAGAGUAGUUAUCAUGGAAACCGAUGAGCUCAGUGCCCCCUUUCCGGUAAAUAUUUAUUGUAUUCCUACUAUAUGUCUAACAAUGUACAAAAUUUUAAAGAUAUAAAAAUGAAUAAGACAUGGCUUCUCCCCUUGGGGUGUUUACUUUCCAGUGAGAGAGUUAGAUGUAAAAUAGUGUGCUAUGGAGUCUCAAGUGUGUGCAGGUAUCCAGGUUGCGGGUUCAGGGAGGGCCCUGGAGAGAAAUGAUGGAGAAGGUGAUGUCUGAGCUGCGUCUUGGGACUUGUACCAUCUGAGUAAUAAUCCAGCUGCUUCCAAUUACUAUUUUAGGAUCUACGGGAGAAACAAAACUGUCCUAUUGGUUCCUGACUAAAAGUAGCCAAGUCUUAAAAAUUACUUUAGUGUGUUAAUUUCCUUAAUCUUAGUCCAGUCAUUGGGUUGCUUGCACUGUUCUUUGUGAACUUCCGGAAAACUCAGUAGCAUGUUUUGAAAACACCAAUGUAUGACCCAAACAUUCUUAUCAGCAUCCUCCCUAUAUUUAGCCACUAACAAAGGACAAGUAAAUGAACAAGGAUGUGUAAAUAGAAUGAGGAAUGUCGAAGAUAAGUGGAUGAAGUCAAGGAAGAUAGAUGUUCAUUCGCUUAUUAAUUCCUUCAUUUAAUGUUCAUGUAUUUGUUCUUUAUGAUGAACUUUGGACAGGGUCAUACAAAAGCUUAACUUGGACAGUGAAUAUAGGGAAAAAAUAAAAAUGAGAAGAGGAGCAAAGGAAUGACAUAUUCUGGCAGGCUUUUGAAGUUAGAAGCCCAGAAAAACAUGAUAAUAUAGUGAAAAAGUAGAUUUUAAAAUGAUGCCAUACUUAAGUAUAGACCCCACCUUUCCCAGUUACUAGUUGAGUAAUCUUGAGCAAGCUAAUGACUGUACGUAGUCUGUGACCUCAGAGUAGUAACUCUACCACUCAAGCUUGUUGUGGGAACUAUGGGCACCACAGUGGAAUGUUAGGACGUAGCCAAUAUUCAAAAAUUGCACGUCACUUCUCUUUUUCUUUAGCUGGAGCUUUCUCCUUAUUUCUUCUAGUUUAUAAAGUUUGGUAGUCAUGCUGGAGUUUGAGAUAAAUAAUUGCAGAGCAUUCUUUCUCUCCCCUCUUCUUCGGUAGUACCAACAACAUGCUAUGAGCAUUGUGAACAUGAGUGGCGGGGCGGGGGACAAAAACUAGACACCCAACUCAGACACACAUGCUGAGCAUCAGCCAUGCUGCAUCUCUGCAAGUGGAAACACUUCCCGGAAUCUGUUCAGACAGGAUAAUGAACAGGAUCCUUCCAGAAAUUGUCCUUCUCUUCUGCUCUCCUUCCAGUCCUACUGACCUGCAGCUUCUGGGAGAAGAGAGACAAGAGUUGGGUGGGGUUUGUUGAGCCUGACGAAAGGGAGAGGUGGGUUAGAGGAGCGUGUUGGUGCCUGAGUGAUGUGGGGAGCUCUGUUGUGACUCUGCGUACAGCUGUGUUAUAGAGGGAAGGAUGGGGGCGCUGGAAGAUACAAGGAGGAAAGCUGAAGUGUAUAUUGCAGUGCUGCUAUUCUCAUCAACCCUUGGCCAAUUAUGAGAGAAUUUAAAAACUAAGCCCAGUGGAUUUAGAGGCCGAACUGAAUUGUAUUUAAAUUAUUUGCUUGCACAGAAAA